ensembl:lncRNA
UGUGAGAUGUUGGCUUAUAAUAACUACAGCCCUUAGAGGGGAGGAGCCAGACCAGCAGUGUGGCAUCAGCCCUGUUUCUUUGCUGCAGGUUUCCUGGUGGCUGAGUCUCCUGGCUGAUACUGGCACCUACCCUGGACUGCUUCACCAGGGUGUUCCUCCUUUUGCCCUUUGCUACUUCUACAUGAACCUUCAUCACAAAAAUAAAUGGCAAUAGAGGAAGCUCUACAGGCUCUAAGCACAGCUGAAGAACAAGGUGUCCUUGUACACUGCAUGGUUCCUCACCCUGGAUCUGAAGGAUGUAUAUUAAAUUCAAAGGUGAGAAGAUAUUUUUGCAUGAAACUUCCACCUCCUGUACAUAUUUCAAACUAUUUGCAUCCUACUUGGUUACUCUGUAGUCGAGGCAUUACAUCCCAACAGAGGAGAUCUAAGGGACAAAAAUACUGAGACACAGUCAGAAUAAGGCGAUUGAUGCUAACAGCUUUAAGCAACCUGGAGCUUCAUGUGACCAUGGCUCAGCAGGGCAGAUUUAUCAGUGCUGUUUCUCAGUUAAAGCCAAAUCAACAUCUCAGUGCAAAUUCAACAGCACUUAUAGGUUGUGUACUUGGCAACUAUUCUGAGCAUACUCAACAUAAUAAAGAGAAGUAACUAUCAAGAACCUGUACUGAAAUUAAAAGUCUUUAAAUAUUCCUCUUGGCUAUGUAAUUGGUACAGGUGUUUAUGGAGCUACUAAGGAAGGCAGCUUUACAGUCACAAGCUCAUGAGUUACCUCACGGACUUCCAGCCAGUUUGGUUGUGGAGAAGUUGGCCUAUCUCUGACAGCAGCUCUCUUCUAGAGGCACAAGCACACAGACUUGGAUAUUCUGACACAUAAUUGAAGGAACUGCAGCUCGUGUCACUCAAGAAGGGCAGUGGUUUUAUUUUACUGCGUGCGCUAUGUCUUUCUGCUGCAUGAUGUCACAUCUCUAGCCCGAUGUCUUGGUAACGAGAUUACUGAACUGCUCGUUUAACGGUAUCCAUGUGUUAAUAAGACACCACGACGUUAUGCAACUCAGAACUAAAAAAAACCCUCGCUGUUCUCCUUCGCGUUAAGCCCUUGCAGGCUCAGCAGCACCCGCCAGGCUGGGGCUGCCGCAGGAGAGCUGAUGCGACUGCCCCCAGCGAGUCUGUCCACGAGCAGAGCCGUCCCACCUGCCAGCAGCAGCACGACUAAGCGCUCCGCGCGAGCUAUGGAGCGCUUCCCUCUUCCCGCCCUUUCUCCCUCCCUCCGCGGCCGCGGCCCCGCCCGCGAGG